CCUACGGGAGGCAGCAGUGAGGAAUAUUGGUCAAUGGACGCAAGUCUGAACCAGCCAUGCCGCGUGCAGGAAGACGGCCCUAUGAGUUGUAAACUGCUUUUGUACGAGGGUAAACGCAGAUACGUGUGUCUUUCUGAAAGUAUCGUAUGAAUAAGGAUCGGCUAACUCCGUGCCAGCAGCCGCGGUAAUACGGAGGGUUCAAGCGUUAUCCGGAUUUAUUGGGUUUAAAGGGUGCGUAGGCGGUCGGAUAAGUUAGAGGUGAAAUCCCGAGGCUCAACUUCGGAAUUGCGUCUGAUACUGUUCGGCUAGAGAGUGGUGGCGGUAUGCGGAAUGUGUGGUGUAGCGGUGAAAUGCUUAGAGAUCAUACAGAACACCGAUUGCGAAGGCAGCAUACCAAGCUACUUCUGACGUUGAGGCACGAAAGCGUGGGGAUCGAACAGGAUUAGAUACCCUUGUAGUC
rnacentral:rRNA from 1 species